rnacentral:rRNA from 1 species
GCCCUUAGAGUUUGUUUCCGGCUCAAGAUGAACGCUGGCGGCGUGCUUAACACAUGCAAGUCGAACGGACUCAUAUUGAAACCUAGUGAUGUAUGAGUUAGUGGCGGACGGGUGAGUAACGCGUGGAGAACCUGCCGUAUACUGGGGGAUAACACUUAGAAAUAGGUGCUAAUACCGCAUAAGCGCACGGCUUCGCAUGAAGCAGUGUGAAAAACUCCGGUGGUAUACGAUGGAUCCGCGUCUGAUUAGCUGGUUGGCGGGGUAAAGGCCCACCAAGGCGACGAUCAGUAGCCGGCCUGAGAGGGUGAACGGCCACAUUGGGACUGAGACACGGCCCAUACUCCUACGGGAGGCAGCAGUGGGGAAUAUUGCACAAUGGGGGAAACCCUGAUGCUGCGACGCCGCGUGAGUGAAGAAGUAUUUCGGUAUGUAAAGCUCUAUCAGCAAGGAAUAAAAUGACAGUACCUG